rnacentral:rRNA from 1 species
AUGGAGCCGCGCGUGGGUAACAAGUACCGCCUCGGCCGUAAGCUCGGCAGCGGCUCGUUCGGGGAGAUCUACCUCGGUACUAACGUGCAGACCAACGAGGAGGUCGCGAUUAAGCUUGAAAAUGUGAAGACAAAGCAUCCUCAGUUGCUGUAUGAGUCAAAGUUGUACAGGGUACUGCAGGGCGGAACUGGGAUUUCAAAUGUCAAGUGGUUUGGUGUUGAGGGUGACUACAAUGUUCUUGUUAUGGAUGUGUUGGGGCCAAGCCUUGAAGAUCUUUUCAGCUUUUGCAACAGAAAACUGUCGCUCAAAACUGUUCUGAUGCUUGCUGAUCAAAUGAUCAACCGAGUUGAAUUUAUACAUUCAAAGUCCUUCUUGCAUCGAGAUAUAAAGCCAGACAAUUUUCUCAUGGGCCUUGGAAAGAGAGCAAAUCAGGUAUAUAUGAUUGACUUUGGACUGGCAAAGAAAUACAGGGACACGUCAACACACCAGCACAUUCCAUACCGGGAGAACAAAAAUUUGACUGGGACAGCUCGAUAUGCGAGUGUAAGCACCCAUCUUGGAAUUGAACAAAGCAGAAGGGAUGACAUGGAGUCUCUUGGAUAUGUACUCAUGUACUUCUUGAGAGGAAGUCUCCCAUGGCAGGGUUUAAAAGCCGGUACGAAGAAACAGAAGUAUGAGAAAAUCAGCGAACGGAAGAUUGCCACUUCAAUUGAGGCUUUGUGUCGUGGAUACCCUUCUGAAUUUCAGUCAUUCUUCCAUUACUGCCGCUCACUGCGUUUUGAAGACAGUCCAGACUAUCAAUACCUGAAGAGAUUGUUCAGAGAUCUUUUUAUUCGAGAGGGAUUCCAGUUUGAUUAUGUUUUUGACUGGACCAUUCUUAAAUACCAGCAGUCACAAAUGACCAGUGUUCCACCACGUGCUAUUGCCGCUGCUGCAGGACAAAGCUCGGGGAUGGCUCCAAUUGCAUGUAAUAAUAGACUGUCAGCCACCGAAGAGGGAAGAAGAAGUGGAUGGUCAGAUGAUCCUACACGACGUCAGGUUCCACCUACAGGAAUAAAUGCAGGCAGCUUAUCGAAACAGAAGUCACCAGUUAGACCAGAUGUGUCCGCACCGAAGGAAGCUGUGUUGUCCAGUUCGACUUUUUUGGGUCGGUCAGGCGUGUCCUCAAGGCGACCUGCUGUUUCUAGUAGCCGAGAUUUGCCAAGCAGUGGAGCUGAACCAUCACGUAGUCGUGCACCAGAUGCGAGUCCAGGGACGUCCCAGAGAAACUCAGCUCCACGGAGGACCUCACAGACGCCUGACUACUCUGAUCCCAGGCACAAGUCUAACAGCAACAACUACGAGUCCACUAUAAGGGGCAUCCGAGGCCUAAAUUUCGAUGGCAAUGAUAGGAUCCACUACUAG